GCAGAUUCCCAGAACACUAAGGGGAAAAAAACGCUCCUAGUGAUCCCUCAGAACCUGCAUAUUUUCAUACGCUUUUUUAGGGGGGCUACUAAUUGGGGCGCUUUUCCUUAGCGAACUUACUUAUCUUAAAGACGGAGCGGAAAAUAAAGCACGCACGCAACCCAAUUUCCGGAGAACCGAGAUCGCGACGAACAACCAGGAAGCGACUGGGUUGAUAGCUGUUCCCGGUUCUCCGUUCUGCUCUCGGGGGCACCUCCCGGGGUUCCUAAGCCGCGGCGUCCCUCGCUGCCCCUCGAGGCCGUUUCCCUGACCUAGGCUUUGGCCUGGGCCACUCGUUCCGGAGCCGUCAUGUCAUCCGACUUUGAAGGUUACGAGCAGGACUUCGCGGUGCUCACUGCAGAGAUCACCAGCAAGAUUGCGAGGGUCCCACGACUCCCUCCUGAUGAAAAGAAACAGAUGGUUGCAAAUGUGGAGAAACAGCUUGAAGAAGCGAAAGAACUGCUUGAACAGAUGGAUUUGGAAGUCCGAGAGAUACCACCCCAAAGUCGAGGGAUGUACAGCAACAGAAUGAGAAGCUACAAACAAGAAAUGGGAAAACUCGAAACAGAUUUUAAAAGGUCACGGAUCGCCUACAGUGACGAAGUACGGAAUGAGCUCCUGGGGGAUGAUGGGAAUUCCUCCGAGAACCAGAGGGCACAUCUGCUCGAUAACACAGAGAGGCUGGAAAGGUCAUCUCGGAGACUAGAGGCUGGAUACCAAAUAGCAGUGGAAACCGAGCAAAUUGGUCAGGAGAUGUUGGAAAACCUUAGUCAUGACAGAGAAAAGAUACAGCGAGCACGUGAAAGACUUCGGGAAACAGACGCUAAUUUGGGAAAAAGCUCCAGGAUUCUGACGGGGAUGUUGCGAAGAAUCAUCCAGAACCGCAUCCUGCUCGUCAUCCUAGGGAUCGUCGUGGUCAUCACCAUCCUGAUGGCGAUCACUUUUUCUGUCAGAAGACACUGAUGUAUCUGCUCUCCCUUGAUAAACAGCAACAACAGCUUGUUCUGAGUAAUUAAGACAAAAUGGUCACAUGAAUCAUUCUGUUGCACUGACAGGCCCCGGGUGACCCUCUCUCUCCCUCACCGCCGUUGGGCUGAAGUGCAAAGAGUGUAAAAAUAUUUUCUAUUCCUGUUUGCAUGUGGGUUGGUUUCCUUUUCGAGGUUUGUCUUCACCCAGAUUCGUUUUUUAGAGGGGAAGGUGAAUGUUUACUUGCCUUUUUGCUAAUGUCAUCAACUAGCCAAAAUAGCCCGGUGACACUCCUCUUAGCCCUUUGGACGUGUCAAGGGCCGUGGUUUGGGAGAGGACACGAUGAGUCAGUCACGAGAGCUUCUGUUUGUCACACGCCUCUUGUUGCUGAAAAGCUCUUCUGUGAUGUCCGAGGAUAAAAAGGCAGCAAAAAGCAGGGAAUGGAGUCAGUGACCCAGUCCGGCAAGCCAGCCCUGUUCCUACCCAGGCCUCAUGAAUAUGGUCAUCAACCUGCUUGAGUGCUUUCAUUGUAAAGGUCGGUAUUUAAUGUCAGUUGUACAGGAAAUUGACUUAGCACUUUCCCUGUUUUUCUAUUGCAUAAUUUUUUUUGAAAACCCAAGAAUAUUUUUGCUGAGCCUGCCCAAUAUUCACUGUUCACAACUUUGAUUACUGGCUUCAGGAAAUAUUUCCUUGCCUUCCCCAAAUCCCAUACUCCCCAGAAUCUGCUGGCAAAGUGAGCCCUGGCACGGGAUUUAAUUGUGACCUCGUCUUCCCUGACCUGUGUAAGCAUCUCUGUAUCCUUUCGGUUUUAAUAUCUGCACUGCCAAAAGCAGUCCUCAUACAUGCAAAAGGUCUGACAAGGUUCUCUCCACAUCCAUUCCAGUAUGUAAAGAGACCAUGAAUAUUUCAGUAAGAGCAAGAACAUGACUCCAUCAGUGUGAAAUUUCAAAUGUGAUUAUAAAUAUGGGAGAGUCCUAUAGGAGGGUCCACCAGAGAUAAACUUCACGGAAAACGUUCCCUAACCUCCUUUAAAAGAAUAGAGGAUGGUGGAUUGUUACAAAAGGAACGGCUUGGGUUUUUUAGCUAACAAAUGUUAGCAAGCCUUUCCUGAAUUCACUAUGUAUUCAAACUUCUAAUAUGCUUUGUGAUUUUUUUUUCUUUUCAUUUCUUUCUGUCUGAGGUAACCAGGAAUUGCGUUCAAAAUGAGCUCAUUUGUGAUCAGGCUUAAAAGUUGCCCAAGCUGAGGUCGCUUCCCCCCUAGUCACAAAGCAGAAUGUGUUUUUCUCAAGACUUCAUAGGCACUUACUGGUCCGUACUAUCUUUGGAAUAUAAUUAGAAGCUUUGAAUCCUUGAAAAGCAAACCUGUUCUCUUCAUCAAAAAUGCUAACCACCUGUGCCCAUGGAUCAAGAUCACCUGGAUGUAGUGCUUGAUAUUUUUCCCAACUCAGAAGAAAACCAUUAUGGUUUAGAGAGGAAAUGCAGAGUGGCAGAAUCCACCAGAGAAAUUGCACUUAUCGAAACAGGCCAAGGCCUGCAUGUGUUCCGAUAAAUCAUUUAGUAUUGUGUAAAUAAAGCUGCAGCCUUUACUUCGGAGGGAUGGUGUGGGAUUUUGGCCGAGGGAAGCCGGACCGAGAAGGAGCAGGAAGCUAUGCUAAUUUUCCUGUCGGCUUAAGGGAUCCGUCUCAGCAAGAAUCUUGUAUUCUGAUAACGGAAUGCUGUACAUGCUAACCACAUCUAAGAACCAUUAAAAAGCAAGGAAACAAACAAACAACCCUUUUCUCAUUCCGACACACGAAUAGUCGUCGAGUAUUACACCAGCCCCUCUGGUGGCUUCCUUCGAAACUGUUGAUAUUAGCUAAAGUGUAUAACCAGUUACCAGCCGCACUUCGCGCGGCCAUCGCGUCUACAUGCGGCAGACUCUUCCCAAGGCCACCUAGCAGGCAAGGUUGAUCGGAUCAUCUAAACUUGCCGCCUCCUAAAUAUUUCACUGAAUCCUGGCGUUCGUGUUGAAGUAGACAAAAUGAGAAAGGAGGAGUGCAUUGCACACCUCUCAAUAGCUUUUUUCGUUCAAGUUCUAUGUCUUUAUCUGCUCUUGACUGUGAUUUUACCCCAGUUCAACCUUGGGAGUGGGAAGAAUAUGAACAGAUAAUCUAGAUGUUCAUAAAUGAUUAUUAGGCCCUUGGCCUAACAGCUCCAUCAAACCUCCUUGAGAGCAACCACCAAGGCCAGGCUAGUGAGUGCUUUGUGAGGAAACUGGUCAGAAGGUUCCCUCAGCUCCUUCCUGGUCCUCCUGGACACUGAAGAAAAGAUUUAGGGGAUCCCCAGCAGAGGCCAAUUGCUCUCCCUCCUUCUCUGCCCCACCAGGAAAGGAAUAACGUCCACAAACUGGAAGCAGAUAGAGAAUUAGAUCUGUGAGAGGUUCUAGGUACUUAGUGUGCAGACUUUGACAAAUAUUUCUCAAGUUGGGAGCCCUUGUUAAAAAUGAUGUUUAAGGGAGUGGUUUGGGGGGAAGAUGAAGACAUGGAGGAGGAAGAAGAGAAGGAAGCCCUUGCCAUAUAAAAUUCAUGCGGACUAAACAGUUUCCCUGACAGAAUAAAUAAAGUGGGUGCUACCCCACUCCAGAAUCAAAAGCAAUUUAAUUAAAGUCUCUUAAGUUGUAAAGAGUUUUAAAUGAUCCAUGUUGAAGGCGAAUGCCUGCAAAUGCAGCGGGCCUGACGUCAGCUGCCGGGCCUGGGCUGGGAGGCCAUUUGCUAUUCUGUUUAAGGCAGGCUGGAUUGUCUUAUUUUGGAACCAGCUUGGUGGGGGGUUUGCUUUGCUACUGCUUCUGAGCCCUGAGCUUCAAAGGCUGAAAUUAAUGGUGAACAAAAUUGUGCGGCUCUGGCCAUCCCAUGCGGGGCAAGCCCAUUGAGGGUUAUCAUUAAGUAAAGAAAUAAAGAGGGGGAGAAAAGCCUGCCUGUUCCAAAAACCUCAUCAGAUAAUGACCUCAGUGAUUGGGUUUUCAUUACCAAACAGCAUCCAGAGAUUAUCAACCCAUAGAAGAAGGGAGGGGGAAAAAAAAGAAAGAAAGGAAAAGCAACUGUCUUUCUCUCCCUCUCUUUCUCCUUUUUUUUUUUUUUUUUUUUUUUUGCACAUCUUUUCUUUAAAACUGUCAGAUCAUUUCAGUAUUUCAAAUCCGAGGAAAACAGCCUGCCUGCUGCUGUAUUUGAAGUUGUAAUGGUGUCAAAAAGUCACGACUGACUGACAGCCGUCAGUCCCAGAGGGGCUCAUUAAAUCAUAAAAACUUGACAAGGAAAUAAUUGCGCAUUGCCAGCAACUUGGCGCCUGUUUAGACGCUUUUAUUUUCUUUCAUUAUUAGUCCCCACCAUUACGUUCAUUAACAAAUUGCAUUAAACAACUGUUAAGGGCUAAUGAUUUGUUUAUCGCUUUUUUUAUUAUUAUUAUUUAAACAUUAGCUGUGUCAUGUGGUACCCCAGCAGCCUCUUGCCAUCAUCUGACUGAAUAUUUUUCCACUCUGAGCUCUGGGUACUGUUGGAAUAUGAAAUAGAUUAUUCAUUACUCUCCUCUUUGCCACUGAUUUGGUUUCAUGUAGCGUCUUCCACAGAGAAAGAUGAAAACUUGUCAAAAAUAGGUUAUAUCUUAUUCGAAGGGGUAACAAUAGCAGCAGGUACAGGCACACUUUAAUAUUUAAUUAAGGUUGAUGUUAACCCCUUUAAAUGACUUUAGCUGUAAGUUAUAUUCAAAUGCAGAAGAGAAAAAUAAUUGUUCUUAAUUUGCAACCUGUUCAGCAGGCAUUCUUCAUGGAGUGAGCUGGAAAUUUAGAGCAGAAUUUUUAAAUAAUGAAAUUUCCCAUCAUAAAUAUUUAUAGCAGUUUGUCUACGUAGUGGAGAAUUAACUAGAAGUGAUGAUUUCCUCAUCCCUUUGGUUUGAACUGCUAGCCUAGUGAGGCACUCCAUGCUUGGGAGUGGAGGUGGCUUUUCCUGGGAGAAAUGUGUGUGUGGAGGGGAAGUUCAGAGCCAAGUUCUGUUGGUUGGUUGGUUGUGGUCAGUGCUGGUUUCAAAGGAACCACUGUGAGUCCCUAGUCUCCAAGCCACUUGCCUUCCCCUUUGGCUGAGUGUGUGGUUGCAGGGAUGUGGGCAGGCGGAAGAGCCCGUAGAGACGUCUUAAAGGAAGAUGUGUGUCCGGCGCCUGGUUCGGGAAGGGUCUGAUUCGGAGUAUGUCUUGGGCAUCUCCGUGCAGUCAACUGGAGCUCAUUACAAACAGCGCUUCCCUAAUACUCUAUGGGGAGACAUUUGGCUGGGGUGGGCCUUCUGUCCUUUUUCCUUUCUGUGACUUACUCUUCUUUUCCACGGGCCAUGAGCUUGAAGGGCUAGGGAGGAGAGAGCCCCAUCAUCCUCAUCCUAAAUCGGAAGUCAGUGGCCUUCUCCAUGCUAUGGCUGCUGUCUAUAUGUCUGCUUAGCCUGUUUGUUUGAUGAGCUUAUAUAACCGUGGAAGCCACCCUCAGAGGCCUGGUUCACUGACACUUCAGGGCAGGGGUGUUGGGUCAAUAUCAGGGAAUGGGAAGUUCCUUUCUCCCAUCCCCAUAGGGACCAGCCCCCUUAUGUAGUUCCGCCAUGGGUGUGAGGGGAAGAGAUGGUGCAUGUUCCUUGCUCAGUGUAGCAUCUCUCAGCGUCACCCACCCAAGGACGGAUGGUCCUGCAGGACCCGUGGCGUGGGAGGUACCUGCCUGGCAGACAUGAACCAGGCCCCGAAGACACAUGGUGAAGACAGAUCAGAAAACAAGGAAGAUAGUCUCACUGCACUGCAAGUCAGAAAACUAUUUUCAUUUCCAGAAUCCUGACUCCAAUCUCGGGCAAGGUCACUCUCGGUGUCUCAAAAUCACAUUGCGAUGCCUGUGCCUCUGCCCCCUUCCACGCUGCCCCCUGAGAGGAAUGCCCUACCACUGUGAAUUACCAGGCAAAAUCCUCUCCAAGUAGACAAUGCUGUGUGCUCAUUCCUCCUUGCAGUCCCCAGGACUGCAUUCGCAAAGGAGCCCCGCUGAGGCUGAGUGGGGCUGACACUUGCCUGCAGGUGGGCAGGUCCCCAUCAGCACUGGUCCUACUUCCAGGACUGGCCUAGGAGAGGUCAGGGAUAGGAAUGGGGACCGUUUAGAUCGGGGCUGACUUGAAGGAUUUUUUUUCCCCCUGCUUAUUAAAUGUUAAAGGUUUGACUUGGCAGGCAAUCAGGAGCCCAAAAUAUCAUAAAAGGGAAAAAAGUUGCCGAGUGGCUAAGAGGUGCACCACGGGAGUGUCACUGGGCCCGCCGGCGAGGUGAAUUGCUAAGCAGAGAGCAGUGAACAGGGAGGAAAUGGAGCAGCAGACAUUUUCAAAGGCUUCUCUCCCCUUCUUCUCCUCUCUCUGUCCCCCAUGCGGAAAGGGGAAAAUAGAAGUCGAAUCUAGAUUGGGGCGCGUGGCUGAUUUGGUCCUCCUCCCGCACCAUCCUCCCCCAGACAGCAGAGAAACUUUGAUGUCUGGGUGCGUGGCAUUCAGGGACAGAGGAGCCCGGGCAUCCCAGCAAAUGCAACCGCAUGUUCCGCCUCUGGAUGGCCUCUCUGAACUCCUUUGUGAGGGGAGAUGAAGCCCACAGAGCUGGAAAGAGCAGCAUUUUGAAAUGAGGAAGUGUGGAUCGGCAUUCCUUGAGCUCAGUGCUAGCCACCUUGGCAAUGGGGUGGGCCAACCAGGAGCUCAGAUUUAUAACACUUUUGAGCUUUGCGGGCCCUAGGGGGCCACUGUGGCCUGCCUGUUGAUUUUCAGAUGGGGAAAUGGGAGCUCAGAUUUGCGGAAGGUCACCUGGCAAAUUGGUUACAGGUCCAGGAGUAGAUACCAUGCCUUCAGCCUCUGGUGAGACAUCUUUCCUCUGCACCAGGAAGUGGAACUUCAGACAGCACCAGGGGUUGGAACUUUUGUCUCAAAUCCUCUCCGCCUCAUCCCCAACCACUGCCCAGCAACUCCAGGCUGGGUCUUUCGUCCCGUCAGGCUCAGAAGGGCUGUGGCCCAGCCACAGAGCCAGGGGCCUCCUCAGUAGUGUUGGCCUUCACACUCUUGGUGCUAAAGUUCUCCAGUUACUUUUUUAUUAAACCAACACGUACAGAAAAACUCAAUUUUCGGCUGGGCACAGUGGCUCACACCUGUAAUCCCAGCACUUUGAGAGGCCGAAGCAGGCGGAUCACUUGAGGUCAGGAGUUCGAGACCAGCCUGGCCAACAUGGUGAAAUCCUGUCUCUACAAAAAUACAAAAAUUAGCUGGGCAUGGAGGUGCAUGCCUGUAGUCCCUGCUAGUCGAGAGGGUGAGGCAGGAGAAUCGCUUGAACCUGGGAGGCCGAAGUUGCAGUGAGCCGAGAUCGCGCCACCGCACUCCAGCCUGGGCAACACAGCAAGACUCUGUCACAAACAAAAAACCCCUCAGUUUUAUCCCUGUGGGCUAUGACGAUCAUCAUAGCCCCACCAUGACACUGAGCCUCAGCUACUGAUGCUAAGGGGAUGCAACUUAGAACUGGGGGGGAACCCGGACACCACGCCUGGGUCCAGAUGGCUGUGGCUGGAGUGCAGUCACAGCAAGGAACAGUGUGGCAGGGACACCAGUGGGGCUCUGGCCUUUUCCCAGACUCUGGCAUCUUUCAUGCCAAGUUGGGCCUCAGGUCUUGGGGCUCUAGACCCUGCUGUGCCAGUGGCCAGAUGUGUGGCCUUAUACGCCAGUCAUACCCUGCUCCAGACCCUCAUCCACAAAAUGGGAAAGCUGGGCUAGAAAAUCUCUCAGGAAGGUAGGUCUCUGCUAGCUCCCAGCCUUCCAUGGCAGUGCAGAGGGAACCUUCCCAACAAAGUAAGAGCCAAAGGCUAAGAUGGCAGCCGGUGGUUUGUAGAACCUUCUAGAAGAUCAGGAGACUUGGUAAGCUGAGCUUGUAAGUGGUCCAGGAUGCAGGGCUGGUGUCACAGGUGUGUGACCAGUACAGGUACACAGGGCUUUGUGCCCAGAAGGGCCCCACGCUUGGGAAAUAAUGCUCUGCAGUCAUUGUCUUCAAAUUCUUAAUAAUUUUAUCUUUGUCACUGUGUUUUGUAAGUGAAGUCCAAUGGGACAGUGGACUGUGAACUGGGGAGGUGGAGCCUCCCAUCUCCCUGUGUCCAGGAUCUGCUUCUCAGCUACUUGCGCCUCUGCCCCCCUAGCUCCAGCUCCACUCAGCUUCUACCUCCCUGCCUCCCACCCAGCAACCACUGCCAACCUGCCCCCAACCUGGCACAGGCACACCCUGUGGGGGAGGGGGGCAAGCACACCCCACAGCAUCUCAGAGUGGGGCAGAGUGGCAGCAGUCCCCAUCCUGCGCUGGCAGCCUGGGGCACAUUCAGUGCAGGACUCCGCGGGGGGUGAGCCCCUAGCACCCCCAGAUCCAGUACCUCGUGUGUCCUGGUACAAAAUUUGUAGUGACCUGGGGGCUGCCCGUCUGCUGUGAGUUGGGGCAGGAGCCUGUGGGAGGAUGCCUGGCUCAACCUCCUGCCCUAGGCCUGGGGCACAACAUGUGGGCCCAGGAGCUCACAGGAAAGGGAGCCAGAAGAUGGGUUCAAGUGUUCGUGUGUUCCCCAAGUCGCCAGGGUGCCUGUGGGGGUCUGCACUCCCCCGGGAGGACCCUCAUGUCUAGGGAGCACCCCAUGGGGUCAUCUCCAUGCCUGAGAGGACCCUCCCUUCUUUCAACCUUCUGGAGUCCAGUUUGUGUCUUCUGGCCAGGUCAAGGUAUCCUUCUGAGAGAACCGUGAAAUACAAACCGUGCCGUUUUGCUAAUUCCACAUGCAAUAUUUGGAUAUUUGCAUUUAAAACUGGCGUUGCACAAUGUAAAGAGGAAUGGUCAAAGUCAUGCUAAUAAUUUAAAAUUUUGACUUUACUUAGAAUGGCAUUAACUAGCAAAUUUAAAACACCAUGACAAGUUGAAAAUGAGACUGGGCAAGAAAGCAAAAAGCAUGUUUUCUUACUAGUUGAACAAGGGGCCCCACAUUUUCAUUUUGUAGUGGGUCCUGAAAAUUAUGUAGCCAGUCCUGCCUGGUGAGCCACCUACCCUCUUGGGCAGUUAGUUCUCUAUCGGUAAACUAGAUCGUGAACACGGCGUCUGCCCCUCCUGCUCACGGGCACGUUAGGAACAUGCACUUGGAUAAAAUCCAGGACAGAGAUUUAGAAACCAGUGUGUGGUGCCAGCUCUCAGCCUUGGAACCACAAGCCCAUUUUUCUUAAAAAGGGAUCUGGACUGGCAUCCAAAGAGAUUUCAGUCCCCUCAUGUAGGUUUAGCCACCAUGGGCAAGGCAGUCUCUCUCCCAUGUAUUCCUCUCCCUAGGUGCUCUGCCCUAGAAAUGGAGCCCCAGUCUAAAAGCAGCCCCAUCAAUACAGAAGAGAGGUAUAAGCACCCAGAGAGAUUUAAUUUGGAAUCCAAGCAAGUUGUGAAAUGGAAAGACUAGUCGGCCAGAGAGCUGAGGUCUUACGGUGUGCAAAGACCAGUCCUCAAUAUCUGCACCCAUCCAUUUGAGUUUCAGGUGAGGUUUAGGAUUUGGGAGCUCAGUACAAAGGUGCCAGCACCAAGGAGGGUAGGUGCCAACUACGUUUGGGUUUAGAGACAUCAUCCUCUUGGGAAAGGUAAAAAUCCUGAUCCACUGAGUUUCCAGGAAGAAGGCAUCCCCAUUUCAGAACUGUUUUCUAAGCCACCCUCAUGGAGGUUUCACCUGCAGCCUUCAAUCUGCUUUGUCUGAUGUCUGAGGAUGCAACUGCCCCAAAAUGGGUCUAAAGUAACAUCCCAGCGCAUUCUGUGAAAAGUAAUACUGCACUUUAAGGUAACACUUAUGGAAUGUAUGAAUGAAUGAGUCAGUUUGGAUCAAGCCGCCUCAAAUAGAGUCUAAAUAUAAGAUUUCAUACUUAAUAGUGUCAUUUCAGGAUCAGGAAAAAUUAGGUGACUCCCGUUUGGUUUCUACAGCUUUUCCCCAAUAUCAUGUUAAAGUUUCGGCUUUUUAUCUUAUUUCACUUAUUUCAUUUUGAGUGAUGUCUUCUGGCUCCAGCUCAGCUUCCUAGAGAUAAUUCAUUAGGCCCGAGAGCUGCUCCAGAGUGGGAUUAGAACCGGUGUAGUACAUAGUCACAUUAAACUGAGAUCGGCUAAUUAAUCGCUCUUCUCCGUGUAACUGAGCGAUCGCACUCCUUCCCUGAGGAAUUGCAAUUUCAUGGUUCCUAAUGAUGGUGCGAUUACAUUACGUGGAUCACUUAGGCUGUGGGUGUCAGGAGCAGUACUUGGAGCCUCUCUCAGCGGGGAUGGGAGAAGUCACUCCUAAAACCGGGGAGAUGGAGAAAAGCAGUUAGAAUGUCUGUUACUAACUUUUGUUAACGUGCUGCUGUUUCCUACAUCUCAUUCAGGCAUUAGCUUCAAGUUCCAUUUUCCCCCAGCACCGCGUGGCACCUUCCCCAGAACCCUCACGUGUUUUUUCUAAUAUUCACAGGGUUAUUGUUUGAAAAAAAAAAUCUAUUUAUUUGCUGUAUUCCACCAAGUAAUUUCUUUUCAUUAGAUUUCUUGGAAAUGUGGCUCUACAUAUCGUUAGUACAAGUAAUACAUUUUGAUUGUUGUUUCCUGGAAUAACUUGUAUUAUUUGAUGAGUUAAAUAAAAUGCCUAAUUCCAAAGUCGGC